GCCAUUAAUUGCCAUCAUUUAGUUGGGCACUUUAAUGGGACUGCCGGUGACAAACCGGAGGAAGGUGGGGAUGACGUCAAGUCCUCAUGGCCCUUAUGGCCAGGGCUUCACACGUAAUACAAUGGUCGGUACAGAGGGUUGCCAACCCGCGAGGGGGGAGCCAAUCCCAGAAAGCCGAUCGUAGUCCGGAUUGUAGUCUGCAACUCGACUACAUGAAGUCGGAAUCGCUAGUAAUCGCGGAUCAGCAUGUCGCGGUGAAUGCGUUCCCGGGCCUU
rnacentral:rRNA from 1 species